AACGAACGUUAGCGGCGCGCCUAACACGUGCAAGUCGCACGAGAAAGGGCUUCGGCCCCGGUACAGUGGCGCACGGGUGAGUAACACGUGGGUAAUCUGCCUUCGAGCGGGGGAUAACAUUUCGAAAGGAGUGCUAAUACCGCAUAAGACCACGGCUUCGAAAGAAGCAGCGGUCAAAGCUGGCCUCUAUACAUAAGCUAGCACUCGAGGAUGAGCCCGCGGCGCAUCAGCUAGUUGGUGAGGUAAUGGCUCACCAAGGCGAAGACGCGUAGCUGGUCUGAGAGGAUGAUCAGCCACACUGGAACUGAGACACGGUCCAGACUCCUACGGGAGGCAGCAGUGGGGAAUCUUGCGCAAUGGGCGAAAGCCUGACGCAGCGACGCCGCGUGAGUGAUGAAGGCCUUCGGGUUGUGAAGCUCUGUGGGGAGAGACGAAUAAGUGCAGGCUAAUACCCUGCAUGAUGACGGUAUCUCCUUAGCAAGCACCGGCUAACUCUGUGCCAGCAGCCGCAGUAACAC
rnacentral:rRNA from 1 species